GAUGAACGCUAGCGGCAGGCCUAACACAUGCAAGUCGAGGGGCAGCAUAGGGUAGCAAUACUCUGAUGGCGACCGGCAAACGGGUGAGUAACGCGUAUGCAACCUACCCUGUACAGGGGGAUAACCCGGAGAAAUUCGGACUAAUAUCCCGUAAUAAUAUCCGGAGGCAUCUUUGGAUAUUUAAAGUUCCGACGGUACGGGAUGGGCAUGCGUAACAUUAACUGGUUGGUAAGGUAACGGCUUACCAAGGCUAUGAUGUUUAGGGGUCCUGAGAGGGUGGUCCCCCACACUGGUACUGAGACACGGACCAGACUCCUACGGAAGGCAGCAGUGAGGAAUAUUGGUCAAUGGGCGCAAGCCUGAACCAGCCAUCCCGCGUGCAGGAAGACGGCCCUAUGGGUUGUAAACUGCUUUUCCAGGGAGAGAAACUUACGCACGUGUUGCGUGACUGACGGUACCCUGGGAAUAAGCAUCGGCUAACUCCGUGCCAGCAGCCGCGGUAAAACGUCUA
rnacentral:rRNA from 1 species